CGGACGGGUGAGUAAUGUCUGGGAAACUGCCUGAUGGAGGGGGAUAACUACUGGAAACGGUAGCUAAUACCGCAUAACGUCGCAAGACCAAAGAGGGGGACCCUUGGCCCUCUUGCCAUCGGAUGUGCCCAGAUGGGAUUAGCUAGUAGGUGGGGUAAAGGCUCACCUAGGCGACGAUCCCUAGCUGGUCUGAGAGGAUGACCAGCCACACUGGAACUGAGACACGGUCCAG
rnacentral:rRNA from 1 species